ACCAGGCAUUAUGGUGCAUGCCUAAAUCCCAGCUACAAGAGAAGCUAAGGCUGGCGGAUUAUCUGAGCUUGGAAAUUCUGAGCUACAACAGGCUGAGCAGACCAGUUAUCCGUAUUGAGGCUGGAACCAGUAGGAAAGCCCCAGGAGCAAGAGACCACCAUGCUGCCUAAGGAGGAAUGAACCAGCCUAAGCUGGGAAUGGAACAGGUCAAAGCUCCUGUGUUAAUCCAUAGUAAAAUUGGGCCCAUGAGUGGCUGCUGCACUUCCAGACUGGGUGAUAUAGGAAGACCUAGUUUUU
rnacentral:SRP_RNA from 1 species